AGUGAACGCUGGCGGUAGGCCUAACACAUGCAAGUCGAACGGCAGCACAGGAGAGCUUGCUCUCUGGGUGGCGAGUGGCGGACGGGUGAGGAAUACAUCGGAAUCUACUCUGUCGUGGGGGAUAACGUAGGGAAACUUACGCUAAUACCGCAUACGACCUACGGGUGAAAGCAGGGGACCUUCGGGCCUUGCGCGAUUGAAUGAGCCGAUGUCGGAUUAGCUAGUUGGCGGGGUAAAGGCCCACCAAGGCGACGAUCCGUAGCUGGUCUGAGAGGUUGAUCGGCCCCACUGGAAAUGAGACACGGACCGGCCUCCUAAGGGAGGCAGCAGUGGGGAAUAUUGGAGAAUGGGCGCAAGCCUGGUCCAGCCAUACCGCGUGGGUGAAGAAGGCCUUCGGGUUGUAAAGCCCUUUUGUUGGGAAAGAAAUCCAGCUGGCUAAUACCCGGUUGGGAUGACGGUACCCUAAGAAUAAGCACCGGCUAACUUCGUGCCAGCCGCCGCCGUAA
rnacentral:rRNA from 1 species